UGUUGAGUCAUGUGAUAAUGUAAGACCCCCUUUCGGGGACCCCCACUCUAGUCUUGGGAGUGUGAGAGCACCCAAAGAAACACGAGGACCC
rnacentral:pre_miRNA from 7 species